rnacentral:rRNA from 1 species
GAUGAACGCUGGCGGCGUGCCUAAUACAUGCAAAUCGAGCGAACAGACGAGGAGCUUGCUCCUCUGACGUUAGCGGCGGACGGGUGAGUAACACGUGGAUAACCUACCUAUAAGACUGGGAUAACUUCGGGAAACCGGAGCUAAUACCGGAUAAUAUAUUGAACCGCAUGGUUCAAUAGUGAAAGACGGUUUUGCUGUCACUUAUAGAUGGAUCCGCGCCGCAUUAGCUAGUUGGUAAGGUAACGGCUUACCAAGGCGACGAUGCGUAGCCGACCUGAGAGGGUGAUCGGCCACACUGGAACUGAGACACGGUCCAGACUCCUACGGGAGGCAGCAGUAGGGAAUCUUCCGCAAUGGGCGAAAGCCUGACGGAGCAACGCCGCGUGAGUGAUGAAGGUCUUCGGAUCGUAAAACUCUGUUAUUAGGGAAGAACAAAUGUGUAAGUAACUAUGCACGUCUUGACGGUACCUAAUCAGAAAGCCACGGCUAACUACGUG